AUUGAACGCUGGCGGCAUGCCUUACACAUGCAAGUCGAACGGUAACGCGGGGCAACCUGGCGACGAGUGGCGAACGGGUGAGUAAUGUAUCGGAACGUGCCCAGUUGUGGGGGAUAACUGCUCGAAAGAGCAGCUAAUACCGCAUACGACCUGAGGGUGAAAGCGGGGGAUCGCAAGACCUCGCGCAAUUGGAGCGGCCGAUAUCAGAUUAGGUAGUUGGUGGGGUAAAGGCUCACCAAGCCAACGAUCUGUAGCUGGUCUGAGAGGACGACCGGGCACACUGGGACUGGGACACGGCCCAGACUCCUACGGGAGGCAGCAGUGGGGAAUUUUGGACAAUGGACGCAAGUCUGAUCCAGCCAUGCCGCGUGCGGGAAGAAGGCCUUCGGGUUGUAAACCGCUUUUGUCAGGGAAGAAACGCUCUGGGUUAAUACCUCGGGGUAAUGACGGUACCCGAAGAAUAAGCACCGGCUAACUACGUGCCAGCAGCCGCCGUAAUAC
rnacentral:rRNA from 1 species